rnacentral:lncRNA from 1 species
CUUUGCAGAACACCAUGGGCUGGCACCGUGUCGUAGAAGCCGUCUGUUCUUUCAGUUUUCCCAAAGAGCUAACACUUCUCUGCUGCUCUCUGGAUCCUCCUCCCCCUACCUUGAACCCUCAAGAUGAAAGGUGAGCUCUCUUCUGCCCCAUGUGGGUGGGGCACGGCGGGCUGCCACGGGCAGGGGUCUCAUUCUCUCCCACCCAUAGAAAUGGUGCUACCCAGCUCAUGUCUGGGCCUUUGAAUCCGGGGACUUCUUUAAGUCCGUCUCGUUCUGAAUCAAGAAGAUGCUGCACUCAGAACCACUACACUACCUGCCUCAGGAAUCGGCUCAAAGGUGAAGCUGAAAGAACAGAUGGUGUCAACAUCUUGAAAGAGCAGACCCAUAGCACCCACCCACCCCUGAGAAUCCAUCUUCAUGGCCAACUCUGCCUGACCCGGGAGACCACCACCCACAUCAUCCUGGAGCCAAGCCUCUACCCCAGGAUGACUUCAUCAUCUCCCUCCUGUCUUUUUCUUCUUCCUCCUUUCCUGUAAUUCUGUUUCUUUCCUUUUGUUCCUUCCUUGCUUGAGAGACUCGAAGCGCCCGUGACUCUGUUUCCCCAUUUUCCCCCUUUUGAAUUUGCACUAAGUCGAUUGCACUGGUUUGGAGUCCCGGAGAUAGCCUUGAGUCUCUCCGUGUGAAUGUAUACAGCGAGUGUGUAGGCCCCUUUGGCAAUGCCGCCCCAGUACCCUCCUGUCAUCCAUCUCCGUCUGAGGGCAACUGGGUGUGGCCGUGUGCUUGAGGCCUCGCCUUCCCCUCGCCUAGUCUGGAAGCA